rnacentral:rRNA from 1 species
AGUCAAUAGAUACCCUGGUAGUCCACGCCGUAAACGAUGAGUACUAGGUGUAGGAGGUAUCGACUCCUUCUGUGCCGCAGUUAACACAAUAAGUACUCCGCCUGGGAAGUACGGUCGCAAGAUUAAAACUCAAAGGAAUUGACGGGGCCGGCCACAACGACAGCGGACGGCAUAGUUGGUUUAAGUUUACGUAAGACAACGACGAAGAACCUUACCUUACGACUUGUACAUCUCCUCGAAUAAGUGUAGAGAUACAUGAAGACCCUUCCGGGUCGAGGAAGGACAGGUGGUGCAUGGUUGUCGUCAGCUCGUGUCGUGAGAUGUUGGGUUAAGUUCCCGCAACGAGCGCAACCCUUACUUACUAGUUGCUACCACUUAAGUUGUAGCACUCUAGUGAGACUGCCCGGGUUAACCGGGUACGGAAGGCGGGAGUGACGUCAAAUCAUCAUGCCCCGUUACUGUCUAGGGUCAACGACACGUGCUACAAUGGUGA